AUGUCAUCAGCAUUGAGAUAAGGGGGAUGAUGAGGACUGAGGAGCCAGAAUAGGCUUCCAGAAGAGUGACUGCUGAGGUUUGGAGCAGGGACCACUGAGACCUGUGAUGAAUGGACAGAAAGCAGACCCUGGAACAUGGAGUGUGACCAUCAACCAGACAUUUGGCCCUGUCCCCAGAGUCUCCAGGAGCCUGCAAGGCCCCAUAGAAAGCUUGCUCAAUAGCACACUGGGACUGCAAGUGGUGAGUUGCCCAGAGUUUGGAACUGGAGCAGGCUCAAGGCCACUUCCUGCUCCAGCUCACCUCCUUGGUGCACUAGUAACCUGGCUGGGACCCAGAGGGAGGAGGAAGUCUGGGCUGGAAUUGUUUAUCUUCCCAGCCCUGCAGAAGGAAGUGAGCAGGAGUGCGAAGCUAGCAACUACAUCACUCCAUCCAUAGCAGCUUGGAGGGGCAGGGAGUGUCCAGGGGGCUCCAGCCAGCCCAAGGAUCCCUUACCCUUCUCUGCUGAUCAUCUCCCUGUGGAACAUAAGCGCCCAUCUCUCCUCUCCUGAACCCUACCUGGCCUGCUAAUCUUGUACCACCGGGUACAGGAAUGAUGUGCCACUCUAACCAAUGCUGCUGACUCCUGAUGACCUCUUUGCUCCCACAUCCCCACUCUUUGACAGCCCACAUUGUCAUUAGGGGCUCUAGAUUAAGCUGUCUAUAACUCUCCACUGGCUUCCAGCAACCAAAGGAUCAAAUCUAGAAUACCCUACUGUCCAGCAAACCCAGACUACCCCACUUUCCUGCAGACACAGACUACACCACUAUCCAGGAAACCCAAAAUACCCCACCAUCCAGCAAACCCAGACUACCCCACUAUCCUGCAAACCCAGACUACCCCCACUAUCCUGCAAACCUAGACUACCCCACUGUCCUGCAAAGCCCUUGCCAGUCCCAGCUAUAGCCAGAAGGAAGUUCCCACCAACACUCAGCAGCACACCCUCCCUCUCUCCACAUCUGGUGUCCUCUACCUACU
rnacentral:lncRNA from 1 species